UUAGCCAUGGCGCUGCUAUACUGCAGUCGAACGGGCUGUUUAUGCCCCGGUGGCGGACGGGUGAGUAACACGUAGGUGACCUACCCCAAAGUCUGGGACAACUAGGAGAAAUCUUAUCUAAUCCUGGAUGUGGACAUCUACUUUGGUGGAUGUUUAAAGCUUCCGCGCUUUGGGAUGGGCCUGCGGCGCAUCAGGUAGUUGGUGGGGUAAUGGCCUACCAAGCCGACGACGCGUAACUGGUCUGAGAGGACAAUCAGCCACAGGGGUACUGAGACACGGACCCCACUCCUACGGGAGGCACCAGUUAGGAAUCUUCCGCAAUGGGCGAAAGCCUGACGGAUCGAUACCGCUUGAAGGACGAACCCCUUCGGGGUGUAAACUUCUGAACUCGGGACGAUAAUGACGGUACCGAGGUAAUAGCACCGGCUAACUCCGUGCCAGCAGCCGCGGUAAUACGGAGGGUGCGAGCGUUACCCGGAUUUACUGGGUGUAAAGGGCGUGUAGGCGGUCUCUCAAGUCCAAUGCUAAAGACCGAAGCUCAACUUCGGGGGUGCGUUGGA
rnacentral:rRNA from 1 species